rnacentral:rRNA from 1 species
CGGUAAUCUCCAGCUCCAAUAGCGUAUACUAAAGUUGUUGCAGUUAAAAAGCUCGUAGUUGGAUUUCUGCGGGGACGGAGCGGCCGGACGCAACUUGCGUCUCGAGCUAGCGCUUUCCCCGCAUCCUGCCGCGAACCGUGCUACCAUUAGUUUGGUGGCGCUGGGGAUCGGCUCAAUUACUUUGAGAAAAAUAGAGUGUUCAAAGCGGGCCACACGCCUUGAAUAAGUUAGCAUGGAAUAAUGACUAAGGACUUUGGUUCUUUUCGUUGGUGUUCGGGACUGAAGUAAUGAUUGAUAGGGACAGUUGGGGCGGUCCGUAUUCCAAAGCGAGAGGUGAAAUUCUUAGACCUUCGGAAGACGAACAGCUGCGAAAGCGUUCCGCAAGGAUGUUCCCUUUGAUCAAGAACGAAAGUUGGGGGAUCGAAGACGAUCAGAUACCGUCGAAGUCUCAACUAUAAACUAUACCAGCUAGGGAUCGGCCAACGUUUAAUUAUUCGACUUGGUCGGCACCUUAUGAGAAAUCAAAGCAUCUGGGUUCCGGGGGGAGUAUGGUCGCAAGGCUGAAACUUAAAGGAAUUGACGGAAGGGCACCACCAGGCGUGGAGCCUGUGGCUUAAUUUGACUCAACACGGGAAAACUUACCAGGUCCAGACAUAGGAAGGAUUGACAGAUUGAUAGCUCUUUCUUGAUUCUGUGGGUGGUGGUGCAUGGCCGUUUUUAGUCGGUGAAGUGAUUUGUCUGCUUAAUUGCGUUAAUGGACGAGAUUUUAGCCUGCUAAAUAGCGCGGCCGAGCUUUGCUCGGUACGAGCUUCUUAGAGGGACCAUGAUGCGCGAUAGCACAAGGAAGUUUGGGGCAACAACAGGUCUGUGAUGCCCUUAGAUGUUUUGGGCCGCACACGGGCUACACUGGCGCCUGCAAUGAGCAUAUCAGCUGGCCCGAGAGGGUCUUGGCUAAUCUUUGGAACUGGCGCCGUGCUUGGGAUUGACCAUUGCAAUCGUUGGUCAUGCAACGAGGAAUGCCUUGUAAACGCGAGUCAUCAGCUCGCAUUGAAUACGUCCCUGCCCUUUGUACACGCCGCCCGUCGCUCCUACCGAUGAAUGUUCCGAUGAAAUUUUCGGAGAGCGCCGGAGAACGGGGCUCUGCCCUGCAGAACUGGAGGCUCAAAGUCACUUAAAUCUGAACAUUUCGAGGAAGGAGAAGUCGUAACAAGGUAACC